GGGCCCUUAGCUCAUUUGGUAGAGCGCUUCCAUGGCAUGGAAGAGGUGACCGGUUCGAGCCCGGUAGGGUCCA
rfam:Candidatus Magasanikbacteria bacterium RIFCSPHIGHO2_02_FTLL_50_9b rifcsphigho2_02_scaffold_6546, whole genome shotgun sequence.